UACGGAGGGGGCGAGCGUUAUUCGGAAUUAUUGGGCGUAAAGGGCGCGUAGGCGGCUGUACAAGUCAAAGGUGAAAUCCCUCGGCUCAACUGAGGAACUGCCUUUGAAACUGUACGGCUUGAGGCCGGGAGGGGGUAGCGGAAUUCCCAGUGUAGCGGUGAAAUGCGUAGAUACUGGGAGGAACACCAGUGGCGAAGGCGGCUACCUGGACCGGUUCUGACGCUGAGGCGCGAAAGCUAGGGGAGCAAACAGG
rnacentral:rRNA from 1 species